rnacentral:rRNA from 1 species
UACAGAGGUCUCAAGCGUUGUUCGGAUUCAUUGGGCGUAAAGGGUGCGUAGGUGGCGCCGUAAGUCAGGUGUGAAAUUUCGGAGCUUAACUCCGAAACUGCAUUUGAUACUGCGGUGCUUGAGGACUGGAGAGGAGACUGGAAUUCAUGGUGUAGCAGUGAAAUGCGUAGAGAUCAUGAGGAAGACCAGUGGCGAAGGCGACUUACUGGACUGUAACUGACGCUGAGGCAUGAAAGCGUGGGGAGCAAACAGG